rnacentral:rRNA from 1 species
AACGAACGCUGGCGGCAUGCCUAACACAUGCCAGUCGAACGAGACCUUCGGGUCUAGUGGCGCACGGGUGCGUAACGCGUGGGAACCUUCCCUUAGGUUCGGAAUAACUCCCCGAAAGGGGUGCUAAUACCGGAUAAUGUCUUCGGACCAAAGAUUUAUCGCCUUUGGAUGGGCCCGCGUUGGAUUAGCUAGUUGGUAGGGUAAAAGCCUACCAAGGCGACGAUCCAUAGCUGGUCUGAGAGGAUGAUCAGCCACACUGGGACUGAGACACGGCCCAGACUCCUACGGGAGGAAGCAGUGGGGAAUAUUGGAAAAUGGGCGAAAGCCUGAUCCAGCAAUGACGCGUGAGUGAUGAAGGCCUUAGGGUUGUAAAGCUAUUUUAACCGGGAUGAUAAUGACAGUACCGGGAGAAUAAGCUCCGGCUAACUCCGUG